rnacentral:rRNA from 1 species
AGCGAACGCUGGCGGCAGGCCUAACACAUGCAAGUCGAACGGAUCCUUCGGGAUUAGUGGCGGACGGGUGAGUAACACGUGGGAACGUGCCCUUUGGUUCGGAACAACUCAGGGAAACUUGAGCUAAUGCCGAAUGUGCCCUUCGGGGGAACGAUUUAUCGCCUUUAGAGCGGCCCGCGUCUGAUUAGCUAGUUGGUUGAGGUAACGGCUCACCAAGGCGACGAUCAGUAGCUGGUCUGAGAGGAUGGCCAGCCACAUUGGGACUGAGACACGGCCCAAACUCCUACGGGAGGCAGCAGUGGGGAAUCUUGCGCAAUGGGCGAAAGCCUGACGCAGCCAUGCCGCGUGAAUGAUGAAGGUCUUAGGAUUGUAAAAUUCUUUCACCGGGGACGAUAAUGACGGUACCCGGAGAAGAAGCCCCGGCUAACUUCGUGCCAGCAGCCGCCGUAACAC